UUGAUCCUGGCUCAGGAUGAACGCUAGCGGUGUGCCUAAUGCAUGCAAGUCGAACGAGAUCCCUGGAUUCGUUUAGGGUGAGAGUGGCGAACGGGUGAGUAACACGUAGGUGACCUGCCCCGGAGAGGGGGAUAACUGCUGGAAACGGUGGCUAAUACCCCAGAUGUCGUUGGAUUUAGAAACUAACGUCUGAAGCUCCGGCGCUCCGGGAGGGGCCUGCGGCCCAUCAGCUAGUUGGUAGGGUAAUGGCCUACCAAGGCGAAGACGGGUAGGGGGCGUGAGAGCGUGACCCCCCACACUGGUACUGAGACACGGACCAGAUACCUGCGGGUAGCAGCAGCAAGGAAUAUUGCCCAAUGGAGGAAACUCUGAGGCAGCAACACCGCGUGGAGGAUGAAGGCCUUCGGGUUGUAAACUCCUUUUCUGGGGGAUGAGAAAGGACAGUACCCCAGGAAUAAGUCUCGGCUAACUACGUGCCAGCAGCCGCGGUAAAACGCAGGAGGCAAGCGUUAUCCGGAUUUACUGGGCGUAAAGCGCAUGCAGGCGGACGCUUAAGUCGGACGUGAAAGCUCCCGGCUCAACUGGGAGAGGCCGUUCGAAACUAGGCGUCUUGAGGAUGGUAGAGGAGAGUGGAAUUCCCGGUGUAGUGGUGAAAUGCGUAGAUUCGGGAGGAACACCAGUGGCGAAGGCGGCUCUCUUGGGCCAUUCCUGACGCUCAGAUGCAAAGCUAGGGGAAGAGAAACGGGAAUUAGAAACCCCGGGUAUUCCCUAGCCGUAAACGAUGUCAAACUAGGCGUAGGAGUCAUUGACACCCCUUCUUGUGCUGUAAGCUAACGCGUUAAAGUUGACCGCCUGGGGAUACGGCCGCAAGGCUAAAACUCAAAGGGAAUUGACGGGGACCCGCACAAGCACCGGAGCGUGUGGUUUUAAUUCGAGGCUACGCGAAGAACCUUACCAGGGCUUGAAUAUGCGUGGUAGUGAAACGAAAGUGGAACGACCCUUCGGGGAGCGCAUACAGGUGCUGCAUGGCGUCGUCAGCUCGUGCCGUGAGGUGUUAGGUUAAGUCCUGUAACGAGCGCAACCCUCGUCGCUAGUUACAUGUGUCUAGCGAGACUGCCGGUGAUAAGCCGGAGGAAGGUGAGGAUGACGUCAAGUCAGCAUGGCCUUUAUGUCCUGGGCUACACACACGCUACAAUGGCCGGUACAAUGGGCAGCCAAGCCCCGAGGCGGAGCCAAUCCUUCAAAGCCGGUCUCAGUUCGGAUUGCAGGCUGCAACUCGCCUGCAUGAAGUCGGAGUUGCUAGUAAACGCGCGUCAGCAACAGUGCGUUGAAUACGUUCCCGGGUCUUGUACACACCGCCCGUCACGUCAUGGAAGUUGGCAAACGCCUGAAGUCGGUGAGCUAACCCGCAAGGGAGGCAGCCGCCUAAGGCGGGGUCGGUAGACUGGGACGAAGUCGUAACAAGGUAGCUGUAGCGGAUAGCUGCGGCUGGAUCAC
rnacentral:rRNA from 1 species